AUUGAACGCUGGCGGCAUGCCUUACACAUGCAAGUCGAACGGUAACAGGUCUUCGGAUGCUGACGAGUGGCGAACGGGUGAGUAACACAUCGGAACGUGCCUAGUAGUGGGGGAUAACUACUCGAGAGAGUGGCUAAUACCGCAUGAGAUCUACGGAUGAAAGCAGGGGAUCGCAAGACCUUGUGCUACUAGAGCGGCCGAUGGCAGAUUAGGUAGUUGGUGGGAUAAAAGCUUACCAAGCCGACGAUCUGUAGCUGGUCUGAGAGGACGAUCAGCCACACUGGGACUGAGACACGGCCCAGACUCCUACGGGAGGCAGCAGUGGGGAAUUUUGGACAAUGGGCGCAAGCCUGAUCCAGCAAUGCCGCGUGCAGGAUGAAGGCCUUCGGGUUGUAAACUGCUUUUGUACGGAACGAAAAGCCCUGGGUUAAUACCUUGGGGUCAUGACGGUACCGUAAGAAUAAGCACCGGCUAACUACGUGCCAGCCGCCGCCGUAA
rnacentral:rRNA from 1 species